UCGGGAAUUUUGGGCAAUGGGCGAAAGCCUGACCCAGCAACGCCGCGUGAAGGAUGAAGUAUUUCGGUAUGUAAACUUCGUAAGAAUAGGAAGAAUAAAUGACGGUACUAUUUGUAAGGUCCGGCUAACUACGUGCCAGCAGCCGCGGUAAUACGUAGGGACCAAGCGUUGUUCGGAUUUACUGGGCGUAAAGGGCGCGUAGGCGGUGUGUCAAGUCAGUUGUGAAAUCUCCGAGCUUAACUCGGAGCGGUCAACUGAUACUGUCACACUAGAGUACAGAAGGGGCAAUCGGAAUUCUUGGUGUAGCGGUGAAAUGCGUAGAUAUCAAGAGGAACACCUGAGGCGAAGGCGGUUGCUGGGCUGAUACUGACGCUGAGGCGCGAAAGCUAGGGUAGCAAACGGGAUUAGAUACCCCCGUAGUCCCUGAGCGGGCUGGCAAGGCGCAU
rnacentral:rRNA from 1 species